rnacentral:rRNA from 1 species
GGGUUGUGAGGUUAAGCGACUAAGCGUACACGGUGGAUGCCCUGGCAGUCAGAGGCGAUGAAGGACGUGCUAAUCUGCGAUAAGCGUCGGUAAGGUGAUAUGAACCGUUAUAACCGGCGAUUUCCGAAUGGGGAAACCCAGUGUGUUUCGACACACUAUCAUUAACUGAAUCCAUAGGUUAAUGAGGCGAACCGGGGGAACUGAAACAUCUAAGUACCCCGAGGAAAAGAAAUCAACCGAGAUUCCCCCAGUAGCGGCGAGCGAACGGGGAGCAGCCCAGAGCCUGAAUCAGUGUGUGUGUUAGUGGAAGCGUCUGGAAAGGCGCGCGAUACAGGGUGACAGCCCCGUACACAAAAAUGCACAUAUUGUGAGCUCGAU